CGGGUCCUUUCGGCCUUCUCUGAUGCAGAUUGGGCUGGUAGCCCAGAUGACAGGCGAUCCACGGGGGGUUAUGCAGUAUUCUUUGGCCCUAAUUUGAUCGCCUGGAGUGCUCGGAAACAGGCUACUGUGUCACGUAGCAGUACUGAAGCUGAGUAUAAGGCUGUGGCUAAUGCUACUGCAGAGAUUAUUUGGGUGCAGUCUUUGCUUCAGGAGUUGGGUUUGUCUCAACCACAGCCUCCUAUUCUUUGGUGUGAUAACAUCGGUGCUACAUACCUUUCUGCAAAUCCAGUAUUUCAUGCCCGAACGAAACACAUUGAAGUUGACUAUCACUUUGUACGGGAACGUGUA
rnacentral:rRNA from 1 species